rnacentral:sRNA from 2 species
AUCCAGCGUGAGUGAGUGAGUGAGGUGUGUUGAACUGUGAUGGAUGACGGAUGGAUGAGAUAAUGUGACCCGAGAGACGGAGCCGCGGACCACGAAAAUAGGCACCAUCGACCGAAUGGACUUCCCUGAGCUAUAUAGUUGCAGAAAUAAUUACUACGGGGACAACAAUCGAAUCCAUAUCAAUUUGCAUAACGGCAUAACUGUUUCCUUCCGUUCACUAUUUUUUAGCAACCUCUAACCGAGGUUUUAAAACAAAAAAAGAAAGGAAAAACGACAGCUUGGAGGAAAAAAGCAAAAGCAUAACAAAAUAUCCACUGGCAGCCACAACAACCCUAGAGCGAUAAAAUGCCGUCAUAGCGCCACGCUUUCAGUUAACUAGUUAGUUAACCCCAUCAGGCCCGAGCGAGCCGGCAUCUAUGAGACGUUGAGUGCGGGCAGUGGUCAAAAAAGGAUCUAACUAUUCGUACUUUGUCACAUAAGCCGUCGAGGGGAGAAGUCAGAAGGGAGAAAAGGCAGAGAAUUUUUCAGAAAGUGACUGCAGAAAUGAGGCAUUAUUUGGGGAAUACAGAGUUGGUCAUGAGAUGGUUUGGCGAUUCAGGAGUUAUAUUAUAAUUCUAAUAAUGAAUGGAUAGGACAGUACAGACAAACUCGACAUUCUCUCCAUCCUUGUGGAGGAUAGAUGGAUAGGUUUCUUAUCUUACACAAAAGCCGUUGUCGGCCUCUCGAUACGAAUGUGGUAUCCACGUCUGAUUGAGUUGAUUUUGAAUUGGAUAGAGCCGUGUUUUAACAAUUUCAUAUCUCUGCGACUAUCAAGCCCCUCCAGCAAGUCUAUCUUCCGGGCUUAGAUAUUCCUAAAAAUACGACACCAAUGCCUCAUGUAUCAAGUUCUCGGAGGGGAAAGCAGGGGGGAUUAAAAUUUUGCGCUUUCGACAUACACACAAGUAAAACCCAUAUAGGCCAUCCCAAAAAUGAGGACAUAAAAAUCAGUGGUGUUGAAAAUAAAAUCAGAUACGAAUAAUUAAAAGGUAAAAUAUCAGCAGAAAAUGAGGGGAAAAGGAGAUAAAAAGAGGUUUUGAGAUAUUUAAAAGAAAUAAUAGAAUAAGAUGGGAAGAUAGGAAAUGGAAUAUGAAAAAACAAGAAGGUAUCUCAAACAAUGAAAACUCAACAAUAAAAACGCAUUCUCAAUGUCAACAACAGGAGUGACAGAGUUCGUUGUCAGGUACCUCCAUGACAAAGAAACAGAAACAAGGGUGGUAAUCAGCAGGAGAGAAUAAAAGUGGAAUUGCUCCGCCCGUGAACACUUUUGGAAAGCUUUAGGGCGAGGUGAAUCAAAGGACAUAAGGAUAAGCAGGGUAU